rnacentral:lncRNA from 1 species
UACACUUCUGCCUGGGCAACAGAGCAAGACUCUGUCUCAAAAAGAAAAGGCUCAGGAAGGUGACAUCACUAUGCUAAUUCAAGGAGGAAUGAAAGAGUGACCUCAUGGGACAGUAGAUCAGAGAAUGUUCUACCUGGUGGCCAGCCUAUUUGUGGGGAGGGGUCCCUAAGAAGAGGCUGUAUGCUGGCUUGGGUUAUGGAGGGCCAAAGCUCAGGGGCCUGGGGGAAGGAGAGAAGCUUAACCAAAGUUUGGCUAACAGGCAUUUUGUUCUGAUUGAUCAGUGGUGACAAGCAGUUCAGCUAGUCAUUUAGGAGGUCAAAAACAGAAGACUGGAAGAUCCCUAUCUAGUUUUGUCAUCAGUAGACAAAGGGGCACUCAUGAAACUUGUCUAAGUCAUACGGGGAAGGGUGGCCCCUUGCAGUAAGUCAUUUUCCAGAACGUAAAAGGGCAAUGGGCUUUCUUAACCUUCAGGUAAAAUUCCACUUUGUCAAAACAUAAGCAUGAUGUAGACAAAGGUUGAGAGUGAGAUCAGGCUUAUUGCCCAGUCUUAAGCCAUUUAAACCCAAGGUGGACUUUCCCCUCAGGAAAGAAGGGAAGGAAAGAAGCUAGGAAGGCCCUGGCUAGGUUCUGUGUGGGUUGGGGAAUGUGAAUCCUGAUGGAGCAGCCUAAAGAAGUCAAGCAGUCCUGUAGCAGCAGCCGUGGGGGAGGUUCCUCCUGGGAGUGGAGGAGGGCGAGUGCUGCAGGUCCAUCAGUGGAAAUGGGAAUGGACCAUUAGGCGGAGAAGACUUAUCGAAGCUGCGAAGUCCAAGAUCAAGGUGCCAGCAGAUUCUGUUCCUGGUGAAGGCUAUCUUCCUGUUUUGCAGGUGGCUACCUUCUCGCUGUGUCCUCAUAUGGUGGAGAGUGAGACUUCAUCUAAAAAGAAAAAAAAAAACCCACUCCGGACAUAGUGACUGUAGCUGGGUCUUGGACUGCAAGAAGACCAUCCUGCAGUGAGCACAGGGAGGAGGAGGUGCAUGCAAGCGAUACUGCAGGGCCAGAAUCAGAAUCAUCAGCACGUAGCAACUGAUUGGAUUUCUGGAGCAAGAAAGAAGAGUUGAAGAUAAUGUUGAACUUUCUCAUUGGGAGAUUUUACUAACAUUAUUGAGCAAUUACUGCAUGAUGGAUGUUACGCUAAGAGCAUUCUACAAUUAUUAUACCUCUUACGUCUCCCAGUAGUUCUGUUAAGCACUGAAUACUGUGGAUACAAAGAGCCCAGAGUCAUCAAGAGGAACCAGGAACUCUAACAUGAUGUGUGGAGCAGGCUAUGCAAAGAGGGGUACCUCUCCCAGUCAGAGGCAUCAGAGAAGGCUUCCUGGUGGAGAACGUGUGUGAUGGACUUAUGGACUCAUUCACUGCAUCGAUCUUGGGCACUGCCCAGCUUCAUGUUCCACUCUCCCGUUUAUCCCAAAUUGCUGAGGAUUUCCUAAGAACCAUCACUUUCCAGAGCUCAUUAUUUUCUGUUAUUUGCCUCAGCAGCACAAGCUGUUUUCACAAAGAAAUAAAGGGUCUUCUAUUCCAGAAGAGUUCUUCUAUGCAUGUAGGUGAGCAGACAGUGCAGAGCCAUGCUGAGGUGUGUGUGCCUUGCUGUCACUGUCUCUCCUCCGGGAGGAACACUAGGCUCCUGUACACCAGGCUUCCCACAGCCCAGGAGGAACACAUCCACGCCUUGCCAGUCAUUUGCAUCUUAGUAAGACUAAAACUAAUAAAACUAACAAUAAAACUUAAAAUAGAUUGAAGGAUUACAGUAUGCCAAGCAUAUAUGUAUUGUGUUAUUUGGCCCUCACAGUCACCUUUUGAGCUAGGCACCAGUACCAGCUUUAAGAGCUCAGGAAGCUGAGGUGUCAAGAUUUUAAGUCAUUUGCUCAAGGUCACACAGCUAGGAAGUGUAGUGGGAGAGUCAGUCCCCCAUUUGUCCAAUGCAGUGCUGUCGCCCAAGUGUGAAGAGGGAUGUGCGGGUCUGAGAACAAAGUUAGCCUGCUUAGUACUUUGUCCAAGGUCAGCCCUGGCUCCAAGCCCAAGAAACAAGGCAGGAUCAGCAGCCACAAAGUCCAACAGUCAGCCAGGCUCCCAUACUGCAGGGGUCUCUAUCACAGCCCAGCUCUGGAUAUGGGCAAAUGAAAGCUAGCAGCAGAGUACCCAGGCUACCUCUGCACAGGGAGUGACUGCGGAACUUCAAGAACAAAAGAGAGGCAAAAGAUGUGGGGUGGCCUGUCUGGGAGGGACUAGGGAACAGGGACACCUUGCAGAUAACUCUCAGGACUGAGGAGUAAAUAUCUUUUAUUAAACAAAGCUUAUAAUUCUGACUCUAAGCCUGGCGUUCCUAACAAUGGCAGGGACUGAUGGCUGUGAAAGGCACUAAUCAGACACAGUAGAUUCGUGUUUACACUGGGAAGGGCCGCUGAUCCCGCAUAGGCCUUUGAAGCCACCCGUGCUCACACAGAUUGUAAUGCACUAUGAAGUCAUGUCUUCAAAUAAAAGGGAG